rnacentral:lncRNA from 1 species
CGCCCGGAUAUUCCAAAGGGGAGGGGGAGCCUGCUCCAGGGUGAACCUGCUCCAGAGUUAACUUAACUCGUGCCCAUCUGAAAACUUGGUCCAGAUAUUUCGAAGGGGAAGGACAACCUGCUCCAGGAAUAAACCUGCUCCACGGUGAACUCAACUCGUGCCCAUCUGAAAACUUGGUCCAGAUAUUCCAAAGGGUAAAGGAACUGCUCCAAGGUGAAGAAUCCAGUUUGAAUUGCAGAAAAGGCUUACAUGCAGAAUAAAAUAACAAGAACUGACUUUGGAAACCUGUUGCAUAGAAUCAGUACAAGUUCAUAGACUAUGUAAAGAGAAACCUGCCUGUCAUAUUGAAGCCGUGGCAACUAGAAGCACUGCAUUUUACAAGGAGAACCAGAAGGCACUUUGCCGAGACCGAGAUUCAGCUGCAGGUCAAGCCUUUUCCUGCGUGGCUAUGUGCAAGGUUGCCAGUAAGGACAUGCCUUUCUCUUCCAGGAUUGCUAGGAUUGCAUCUUAACAAAGGUUUUUUCAGCACGUUGGAGAUAAUUGUGUGAUUUUCCUCCUUGAGUGUAUGAAUGUGGGUACAUGUGCAGAAUUUGCAAGAUAGUUGCGUAAGUACACACACGCCAUGGUGGUUUGCUGCCUUCAUCCCCCCAUCACCUACAUCAGGCAUUUCUC